GAUGAACGCUAGCGGCAGGCCUAACACAUGCAAGUCGAGGGGUAGCAGGAUUAAGCUUGCUUAAUUGCUGACGACCGGCGCACGGGUGCGUAACGCGUAUGCAACCUACCUUAUACUGGGGUAUAGCCCGGAGAAAUUCGGAUUAAUCCCCCAUAGUACUAAUGAAUCGCAUGGUUUAUUAGUUAAAGCAUUGCGGUAUAAGAUGGGCAUGCGUCCUAUUAGCUAGAUGGUGAGGUAACGGCUCACCAUGGCUACGAUAGGUAGGGGGCCUGAGAGGGUGGUCCCCGACACUGGUACUGAGACACGGACCAGACUCCGACGGGAGGCAGAAGUGAGGAAUAUUGGUCAAUGGGCGCAAGCCUGAACCAGCCAUGCCGCGUGCAGGAAGAAUGCCCUAUGGGUUGUAGACUGCUUUUAUUUGGGAAUAAACCUCUUUACGUGUAGAGAGCUGAAGGUACCAAAUGAAUAAGCACCGGCUAACUCCGCGCCAGCCGCCGCCGUAA
rnacentral:rRNA from 1 species